rnacentral:rRNA from 1 species
UACGGAGGGGACUAGCGUUGUUCGGAAUUACUGGGCGUAAAGCGCACGUAGGCGGAUUUGUAAGUCAGGGGUGAAAUCCCGGGGCUCAACCUCGGAACUGCCUUUGAUACUGCAAAUCUCGAGUCCGGAAGAGGUGAGUGGAAUUCCUAGUGUAGAGGUGAAAUGCGCAGAUAUCAGGAGGAACACCAAUGGCGAAGGCAGCUCGCUGGGACGGUACUGACGCUGAGACGCGAAAGCGUGGGGAGCAAACAGG